GCCGGGUGUGGUGGCGCACGCCUUUAAUCCCAGCACUCGGGAGGCAGAGGCAGGCGGAUUUCUGAGUUCGAGGCCAGCCUGGUCUACAGAGUGAGUUCCAGGACAGCCAGGGCUAUACAGAGAAACCCUGUCUCGAAAAAACAAAACAAAAACAAAAAAAAAAAUAUUUCUCUCUGUCUGUGUGUGUGUGUGUUUACUUUGAAACAGGGUUUCUCUGUGUAGCCCUGGCUGGCCUUGAACUCACAGAGAUCUACCUGCCUCU
rnacentral:sRNA from 1 species